UGUCUCAAAAAAAAAAAAAAAAUUCAGCAAGAGGAUAUAACAAUUCUAAAUAUAUAUAUCCCCCUGUUGAGGGGUAGGGUUGAGACAUGAGAACCCCAGGAGUGGGACAGGACUUUGCCAAAGAGCAACCUGUCGACGUGUCAGUUCACUGAGCAAAAGCUGCUCGACCUUGAUCAGGGAUGUCUGCAACGGACCCCACCUCGAAGCCUGAGGGCCACAGCCUGGAUGUCUGCAAAUGGACCCGGGCUUGUAAUCCUAAGGCAGAGAGAAGGAUCAAAGGACGUCAGCCCAGCAGAUAAGAGCAGUUUGCUAUUCUAAGCCUGAGGCAAUGUUCCUUUCUCUCUCCUGAGUUCACGUCUCAGUAAAUGAGGAACUAGAUAAAGUAGAAAGAAGUACGUGGUCUCGUUGUUCCUGUUUGGAUUAUAAGCUUUACUGCUGACUCACGAUUUUACCUUUAACCUGUGUGCACUUAGUUUAUUGUUACUUUGGGAGACCUCAAAACUUAAACUCAUGAUAUGUACAUGUAAAUCGGUGACUGAUAACAAUUGUUUGCUGAAAGAAUAAAUACUGAUGUAGGACUCCACUCGUGGCCACUUGGCUCACGGGAAUGCUGGAGGACCCCGGAUUUCCCCAUCACUUUAAUCUAUACUUUGUCUUUGUCUCCUUUAUUUCCAAUCUCUUGCAAUGUUCCUGCCUGGGACCCGAUUUGUUGGGAGAGUUGCAAACUCCCGGCAACUGGUGCAGCGAGCAGGGUCCACGAGGCAGAAGGCUUCACUGGAGUGAAGAAGAUUCCCGUACCACGUCGUGGAGACCCAGAGAGGGCUAUGAGCCCUGCCAGCCAGAAAGUAUGACGGACAGACCAUGUGGAUUCCAAGCAGAAGGAUCAAGCCCCGAAAGGAGGAAACGGAAGAUGCCUCAAUACAUGCCCGAGGCCAUAACAGAAGAACUCUCCAGGAUGAGUCUGAACAACAAGAGACCCACUGAUGCCCCUCCAGAACACCACAGGCAUCAGUCAUCACUUGGGGCCAGCUGAAGAAGACACGCGAGAAGGCGGAAAAUGUGCUGUCACAAGCCAACGCACCCAAAACGUCUUCUGGAGACAACUCUGAAGAAAGCAAGAAUCCGGAGACCAACGUUUAGCAGCGAUGGUGAUUCAACUUCAUCGACUCGCUGCUAAGAAAAAAGGGGGAGAUGUUGAGGGGUAGGGUUGAGACAUGAGAACCCCAGGAGUGGGACAGGACUUUGCCAAAGAGCAACCUGUCAACGUGUCAGUUCACUAAGCAAAAGCUGCUCGACCUUGAUCAGGGAUGUCUGCAACGGACCCCACCUCGAAGCCUGAGGGCCACAGCCUGGAUGUCUGCAAAUGGACCCGGGCUUGUAAUCCGAAGGCAGAGAGAAGGAUCAAAGGAUGUCAGCCCAGCAGAUAAGAGCAGUUUGCUAUUCUAAGCCUGAGGCAAUGUUCCUUUCUCUCUCCUGAGUUCACGUCUCAGUAAAUGAGGAACUAGAUAAAGUAGAAAGAAGUACGUGGUCUCGUUGUUCCUGUUUGGAUUAUAAGCUUUACUGCUGACUCACGAUUUUACCUUUAAACUGUGUGCACUUAGUUUAUUGUUACUUUGGGAGACCUUGAAACUUAAACUCAUGAUAUGUACAUGUAAAUCGGUGACUGAUAACAAUUGUUUGCUGAAAGAAUAAAUACUGAUGUAGGACUCCACUCGUGGCCACUUGGCUCACGGGAAUGCUGGAGGACCCCGGAUUUCCCCAUCACUUUAAUCUA